UACUUGGAACCAACAAGAACAUCCCACAAGGCAUCUCUGCUCCAAAUCAAAGAUCAAAUGCAUCCAUGCGGUGAGUUCGCAUUGGUUUGAUCCAAGUGGAACAUUUCCAUACCUACACCCCCAUUAGCAUAACAAUCCUUUAUUAAACCACUAGCUAGACGUGCAAGAUUCAACCUACACACAAGAACCCACUAGAUAGACUUCCACUGGAACCAUGCAGCAUUCUCCCGUGAUGACCUCAUUACUCAGUCUUUUCUACUGGGGUUUCUGUUUCAACCUUCUCCUCUGUUUCAACAGGCUUCUGUUCUUCCUUUACUUCUUCUUCCUUUGGGGCUUCGACUGCAACCUCCGUUUCUUCUGCCGGUGCCUCACCAGGCUCUGUAGUCUCUUUAGCCUCCUCGACAACAGGCUCUACGGGUACUUCCGGCUCCUCUUUUGUCUCCUCAGCAACCGGCUCUGGUGUUUCCUUAGGUGUCUCCUCCUCAGUUUUCUCUAGUACUGUUGGCUCUUCUGCAGCGAUCUUGUUCUCUUCGAGCACCUCUUUAGUUUCAGCUUCAGCUGGGGCCUCGGGCUCUGGUGCCACGGGCUCCUCAGAUGCUGCAACUUUCUCUGCUUCUUUUGGCUCUUCAUGAGUUACUGCCUCUGGUGCUGCAGUGACCGCUUCUUCUGUGGUGGUCUCAACCUUGAUUGGUUGUUCAUUUUUUUCCUCUACAAGUGCAUUCUGCGCUGACACAACCUGCAGGAUACGUUAUUAAAAGAAAAGAAUGCUCACCAAAAUGCUGAUGAGGUCUUACCAUUUGUUAUAUAUAUAGAGAUGAAUAUACGAGUUUUCAAAUAUGAACAUCCACGAAUUAAAGAUCAUAAUUAAGAUGGAGGUGUUGAUCUUGAUGUACAAUCCAUCAGCAUAAAACUUAUCAGAGUUAAUUAUAUAUAUAAAUAUAUUUAAUGACUUGGAAGAAGUAUAUAGAUGAAAUCUGUUAAAUAAACUUCUCAAGAGGGAGAUUAAAUCAUUCUUAGUGAAUGAGUUACCUCAACAGUGGCCAUUGGAACUAGAAGGAAAAUAAAGCACAGCUGGGAUACAAAAGAAAAC
rnacentral:lncRNA from 1 species